GGGUUGUGAGGUUAAGCGACUAAGCGUACACGGUGGAUGCCCUGGCAGUCAGAGGCGAUGAAGGGCGUGCUAAUCUGCGAUAAGCGCCGGUAAGGUGAUAUGAACCGUUAUAACCGGCGAUACCCGAAUGGGGAAACCCAGUGUGAUUCGUCACACUAUCAUUAACUGAAUCCAUAGGUUAAUGAGGCGAACCGGGGGAACUGAAACAUCUAAGUACCCCGAGGAAAAGAAAUCAACCGAGAUUCCCCCAGUAGCGGCGAGCGAACGGGGAGGAGCCCAGAGCCUGAAUCAGCAUGUGUGUUAGUGGAAGCGUCUGGAAAGGCGCGCGAUACAGGGUGACAGCCCCGUACACAAAAGCGCAUGUGCUGUGAGCUCGAUGAGUAGGGCGGGACACGUGGUAUCCUGUCUGAAUAUGGGGGGACCAUCCUCCAAGGCUAAAUACUCCUGACUGACCGAUAGUGAACCAGUACCGUGAGGGAAAGGCGAAAAGAACCCCGGCGAGGGGAGUGAAAAAGAACCUGAAACCGUGUACGUACAAGCAGUGGGAGCACAGGUUUACCUGUGUGACUGCGUACCUUUUGUAUAAUGGGUCAGCGACUUAUAUUCUGUAGCAAGGUUAACCGAAUAGGGGAGCCGGAGGGAAACCGAGUCUUAAUUGGGCGUUAAGUUGCAGGGUAUAGACCCGAAACCCGGUGAUCUAGCCAUGGGCAGGUUGAAGGUUGGGUAACACUAACUGGAGGACCGAACCGACUAAUGUUGAAAAAUUAGCGGAUGACCUGUGGCUGGGGGUGAAAGGCCAAUCAAACCGGGAGAUAGCUGGUUCUCCCCGAAAGCUAUUUAGGUAGCGCCUCGUGAAUUCAUCUCCGGGGGUAGAGCACUGUUUCGGCUAGGGGGCCAUCCCGGCUUACCAACCCGAUGCAAACUGCGAAUACCGGAGAAUGUUAUCACGGGAGACACACGGCGGGUGCUAACGUCCGUCGUGAAGAGGGAAACAACCCAGACCGCCAGCUAAGGUCCCAAAGUCAUGGUUAAGUGGGAAACGAUGUGGGAAGGCCCAGACAGCCAGGAUGUUGGCUUAGAAGCAGCCAUCAUUUAAAGAAAGCGUAAUAGCUCACUGGUCGAGUCGGCCUGCGCGGAAGAUGUAACGGGGCUAAACCAUGCACCGAAGCUGCGGCAGCGAACGUAUCACUUAAAGCGAUUCAGCGGGUUACGAUUGACGGAGCGAAGCGACGUCAAAGCGUAUACAAAGUCGAGUCGGUUUAAGGAUACGUUCGUUGGGUAGGGGAGCGUUCUGUAAGCCUGUGAAGGUGGCCUGUGAGGGUUGCUGGAGGUAU
rnacentral:rRNA from 1 species